rnacentral:rRNA from 1 species
AUACAGAGGGUGCAAGCGUUAAUCGGAUUUACUGGGCGUAAAGCGCGCGUAGGCGGCUAAUUAAGUCAAAUGUGAAAUCCCCGAGCUUAACUUGGGAAUUGCAUUCGAGACUGGUUAGCUAGAGUGUGGGAGAGAAUGGUAGAAUUCCAGGUGUAGCGGUGAAAUGCGUAGAGAUCUGGAGGAAUACCGAUGGCGAAGGCAGCCAUCUGGCCUAACACUGACGCUGAGGUGCGAAAGCAUGGGGAGCAAACAGGAUUAGAAACCCCGGUAGUCC